rnacentral:rRNA from 1 species
CAGUAGCCGCGGUAAUACGUAGGUGGCAAGCGUUGUCCGGAAUUAUUGGGCGUAAAGGGCUCGCAGGCGGUUUCUUAAGUCUGAUGUGAAAGCCCCCGGCCCAACCGGGGAGGGUCAUUGGAAACUGGGAAACUUGAGUGCAGAAGAGGAGAGUGGAAUUCCACGUGUAGCGGUGAAAUGCGUAGAGAUGUGGAGGAACACCAGUGGCGAAGGCGACUCUCUGGUCUGUAACUGACGCUGAGGAGCGAAAGCGUGGGGAGCAAAUGGGAUUAGAUACCCCAGUAGUCCCUGUCUCUUAUAC